CACUAUGAUUCAUGGACAGAAAAUCCUCCUACAAAAAUUUACAACGGUUAACCUACGAAGAAAGACCUACGCCCCGACCGCUGCCCGCGGGUCGCCCGCUCCCUCGCGCCCCUGUUGCUCCCUCCUCGAUCCCGAUCUGGAUCGAGGGGACGAGGAGCUCCUGCCUCCCCGACGGCCGGCCUCCUCCUCGCCCCGCUGCUGCGUCCGGCGCCGCCACGGCCUCUGGAGCCAGGGAAGCCAUGGCCUGAGCUCGGCCUCGAGGUCCCCGCCGCCGUCUCCUGCAGCUUCUGCCCCGCCGCCUCACCGCCCGAGCUCGCCGUCGCACCAACCUCGGCGCCGCGCCGCCGCCGGCUCUGGUCGCCUCCACCUCCGCUCCAGUGCUUAAGGAUGGAGGAGAACGGCCUGAAGUUCGUGCUCGAUCUGGUGGUCAGGUUCCCACUUCGGCAAGAGUUUGCCGAUGACCUUAAGCACUCCGAUCCAGUGCCGCUAAGGCUGCCACCCAGGGGGAGGCUGGCGCUCUUGGCACGGAGGAUUCAAUUGGUGAAUUUGGCUGCGCCCUGAGGUUAAUCGGGAGGCACCUGGAUGGACGAAAAGGCAAAGCCUAAGGCCGAGAAUAGCCGAUCAUGCAUGUACGAGUGUCCCGCGCUGAUCAGGGAGAAGGUUCAUUGGCACAUAGACUUCUGUGUUAACAGGGCGACAACGUCAAGGAUGGCAUCUGCGAGAACUCUUUUGUGUUAGAUAAAUUGAUGAUUAUGUCUGGAUCUCCGGGGGCAGACACUAUCAUACUGAAGCUCUGCCAGACCACGACUGUCAACAGGGUCACCGUAUUCUUUGAGGAACACAAACAAUCCAGCUAUCAUAAGGAUGAGGACGGAGCACAACUCUCUCAAUUCCCAAAAUGAGGUGGACAACACUUAGCUUACAUGUUCUUUGAGGACGGAGGAAGUUUCGCCUUAAACACAACUUUUAUCUGCUCUGAAAGAGUUACAUAUUUUGAAGUUUUUGCAACUCAGCCUAAAAGAGUUGGGUAACCAAACUCAAAAUGAGGUGGACAGUGCUCAGCGUGCAGUCACAUGGAGUAUUAGUUUCAUGGGUUAAUUUAGCACUGCAUAUUAUUAAUUGUGUUUCUAUUUUUGUUUCUCUCCAGCAAGCAUGACAAUAACAAGUUUAUAUCCAUCAGUUUCUUAGUACCCUGUUGGUUUCAGUAUUAAAUGGCCACAACACUUUCCUAUUUUGUUUGAGUUUUCAUGUGCUACUCUAUUAGGAAUAACAACUAAAAACAAUGAACGUUUGAUUUGAUUUCCUUCCCAACACAAGCAACAAAUAUAAUAAAUGUCUCGCAUCCUUGACUCCAGCAAAAAAUUCAUUGACUGACAUAAUUGAUCUGUCUAUUAAUCAAGAUUGUAUUACUAAACCUACAGAUUGAUUAUUUUUAGUUAUGCAGCACACAGUAUUCUCCCCAGUUCUGCUCGAUUGGAUUGUCAGUUCAUGUACUCUGGAUCCAAAUGAACUUGGUUACGUACUAAAUUAUUGUUGAGGAUCUCAGGUAAUCGUUGCAGUUGAAGAUUACGCCCCUGAUCAUCAUUCUCAUUUUCAAACUUGCCAUUUAUCAGAGGAUUUGGAUGGGGUGCAUUCAUGCAUUAUAUUGGAGCAAGGACCUGCCGAGGAGGGGGAUUUCAUGGGGAGGCGAACCUGGUAAAAUAGGGGUGGAAAGUAUACUAUAGACUGUGGGGUUUGUGUAUCCUUAUCCAGGACAUUGUGAAGGCUUCUGAUGCAGUUUACAAGAAGCAAUUGGUGAGCUAAUUCAGAGAUAAGUGAAAUGAUAAUAAGAAGGUUAAAUAAUGUUGUUCAAUCUUUCCGUCAAGCAACCUGUUUGGCCCCAAAUGUCCGCACCGACGCGGUGACGCCCGUGGGCGCCACCGUUCCUUCCUGAAGGGCAUCGGGUGUUGCUUGGCAUGCGGAGGUUCAAGGUGCUAGGAGCGAGGUGGUAAAUCUCCGGUGGGCGCAGCGGUUGCGGGUCAUCAUCAUUUUCGUCGAUCCGACGCUGUCGACAUUAUUUUCUCUCUUCUUUCUCUUUUUUUUUUCGUUUGGGCGUGCUUGUGCUGUUUGCCCCAGCAUUGGACUCUUGGUUGUAUUGGGUUGUUGCUAUAUCUAUAUGGCGGGGCGAAAGCCUAUUUGGUAAGAUUCUUCCAUGAAUUCAAGACUUGGCAAACCACUCCCA